UACAUAGGGGGCAAGCGUUAUCCGGAUUUAUUGGGUGUAAAGGGUGCGUAGACGGAGAAACAAGUUGGUUGUGAAAUCCCUCGGCUCAACUGAGGAACUGCAACCAAAACUAUUUCCCUUGAGUGUCGGAGAGGAAAGUGGAAUUCCUAGUGUAGCGGUGAAAUGCGUAGAUAUUAGGAGGAACACCGGUGGCGAAGGCAACUUUCUGGACGAUAACUGACGUUGAGGCACGAAAGUGUGGGGAGCAAACAGG
rnacentral:rRNA from 1 species